GGAGAAGCCCUCAAUCAGCUCAACAAAA
rnacentral:snRNA from 1 species